GCCGGGGUGGUGAAACUGGUAGACACGCAUGCCUUAGGAGCAUGUACCCUUGUGGUGUGGAGGUUCAAGUCCUCUCUCCGGCACAA
rnacentral:tRNA from 1 species